GAUGCCUUGUUGAGCUUUGAAGCACAUUGAGAAGAAUCUGAAAUCCUUCCUCAUUAUGGGGUGUGUUCAGGCUGCUGAGGUGCCCAUUCUCAAGAUUUUCACUGGACAUUCUGGGGUCCCAGUUCAAGUAUUUUCCAAUGUGAGUCAAGGUGAACCAGAGCCUGAA
ensembl:lncRNA TTTY17A testis expressed transcript, Y-linked 17A